UCAUGUGAUUGUUAUAACUUGAGUGAAUAGAUGUUUUACUUAUAAUCUAAUUGUCUAAAUUUGAAGAAAUUAGUGUCUAAGCUAGAAACAGAGCUUACUUAGUUAAGACUAUGUUUUAAGCACUUCCUGUUAGCUUCUCCCCAUACAAGAACUGUUUGAGUCCAUCAACUCAAUUUGGCUCCCUUGUCACACACAUUCACGGAAUGCUUUUCUUUUCCCUAGUGACCUUUGUGACACUCCUAAUUAUUCAGUGUCACUCCUCCUAGGUUACAGAGUAACCAUGCACAAUUCUGUUUGAUGCAGUGCCCUCAGUACCUAGCACAGGGCCUGGCACAGACAAUAAGCAUUCAUAGAACGAACGAGGAUAGGUGCCAUGCCAUGCCUUGGUGCUCUAUACACUCCCUGUGCUUGAGGGCAGUGCCAGCACGCAGCAGUUGUUCAGUCAACAAGGGAAGAAGGCAGGCAAGAGAGAAGACGCAGCGAGAGAGAACAAAGCAGGAGGCCUGUAAUAGGAAGCAGCUGACCUGUGGCGUUCUGACUUGAUCAAGCUCCACGAACACUUCUCAGCAUUUCACUGCUAAGAGCGUUUGUAUGAGGUGACUUCAUUAUUUCCAAAUGGUUGUUGAAACUCUUAAAGCCUGUUGAGUCCUAACGGCAAAGGGUGCCCACACUGAACUGGCACGUGGUGCACCUGGAGGGCGUUUAUGUGGCCGGGCUCCCUGCCAAAGGACUGGUCACACAGGGCUGUCCUCUCCAUGUAUUGUAUCUUCAGCCCAGUCAGUUAUCCACGUCGGCCCUCUGCACAGGUGCGGCUUGCCUGGAGUCAGCUACUCCCACAGCAAAGCAAAUACACCCAUACUGGGGCCUCUUCUAGCCUUUAAUGGCAGACGGGCCCACGGGCAACCACAACUCACAGAACCUGGGGCUGGAUACAUAAAAGGACAUUGCCUACCAUGUGCGGGAGGUCAGUCACCAUCACUUGCAUGUUAGCCACCUCACAGACCACGGGGAUCUGACUUUGGAGAAGCACUGAAGGAGUCCAGCAUCACAGGAAAAAGUACACGGAAUCUGGAUCCAACGUAUCAGACGGAAGGCCAGGUGAGGACACAGUCUGACAACAGCUGCCUACAAACCAGAAGGAGGACCCUCACCAGAAACCAAAUGUGCCUGCGCCUCGACCUUGGACUUCUGCCUCCAAAACUGUGAGCAGUGAGGGUAACAGGAGACCUCUUCCAGAGACGUGAGGGUCAAACAAGAUGACAAAAUGAAGCAUUCAUCUCAGUACCGGGCACUUCCUAAGCUCGCUGGAUAGAAGCCUGCUGUCAUGAGCGUCGCCUCUCUGGGCACGGACAUGGCUUUGGAGGACAAGUUGAUUGGUGGGAUCCUUACAACCGUCAGUGUUUCUGAGCUAAACUACUCUAUGCGCUGUGGGGUGUUCCUUAUUCCUUUGUUGAUCCUGGCACUGGUGCAUACACCUGGAGUGCCCAUCUUCUUCUUGGCACAUAUCCAGACUUCUGAGUGCCUGAAGGCCAUGCUUCCUGAAGCCAAAGAUAUGGAUGCACUUGUGAAUGUUGACAGUGUACUCCUGGCACAUACUUCAUUGAUGGCAGAAUGUUUCUUCUUCUUACCGCCAUUCUUUGAAGAAGCCAUCUGCAAGGGCUCAAGUUGGAAAAGUAUCCCUGAUAUUUCUAUAGAAAAAUACAGUCCACAGCACCUAACUUAUUGGUGGAGACAUACCUAUGUCAGCACCGCAAGGAGUAACCUGUCUUUGAAAUCCAGCCGAUGAGUCUCUUUGUGUGAAAAUGCCCAGGGAAAACAACAACCUGCCCCAAUCUAAAUCCAAAAACAGUGGCUGCACAACUGAAAUCACUAAGACCAGGGGGACUAACAUUUGUGAAAGUCAUGUUUAUGAGCAUCUUGUUCUAUUUCCACGGAGUGAACAUCACACAUCUUUGGCAUCUCCUAUAAGUAGUCUGUUCUGCCAGCCAAGAACACACAGAAUGGAGACUGGUCUCUCAGCAAUUGCAUGUUGGUUGUAUUUGAAGCUAUUAAAUCUUGAACACAUGGAAAAGAAUAUGUCAUAAUGCUACCAGUGGAGAAAAGAAAGUGCACACAAAAUCUAAUGUGAAGACAGCAUGUUGGGAAAUGAAGCAAAAGGGAAUUUUUCAUUACUUGCAUCUGGGUUUUAUGUUGCAAUAAAAAGUAUCUGGCUACCACAGUUGGUUUUAUGUACACCUCGUCUAUAACUACCUAAGCACUCCAUUGGGCUAGAAUUUAAUCAAAUAUCCUGGUUUCUAGUUAGUAGAUUUGUGGCAAGCAUCAGUAAUAAAAAAAGCUGAAAUAUUCCUUCCUUAGACUCAAUAAAUGUUCCCUUCUCAAAUUCAGGUUGAAAAGAAGGAAUUCGCUGACGGAGACAGGGAAUGUGUUCUCUCACUUUUGUUUUUCAACUUACACAACACAUUUAUUUUAUUGAGGACUCUUGCAUUCAAUUUGAAGAUUCACAGCCUUGGAAUUUAUUUUUGAAGUGAUUUUGAAAAAGAAGCAGCACAUCAUUUUAAUGAAUUUUUUUCUGUGAUCAAUAAAAGUCAGCCUUAACUUUACCCAUCAUUCUUCACUCCUACACCUUGCCCCAACUUCACAUUUUGUUCAAACUUGUCAAAUUGCAAGUAAAAUCCUACUUCCCAAAAUACAAGAAACUUUGAAAAAUGAAAUUAAGCCACAAAAGUUUGACAAUGAGGAAAGGAACAAGAUUUACUUGUAUAUGUUCUUUAUGAUUUAUUUGGAACAUCUAAAAGGCCCUUUACUUGUGUGUGUGCAAAAUUUUUUAAAAAUACUAUAAGAAUAGGUAGCUCAUAAACUCCUUUGGAGAAGGCAGGAAGAGGUAAUGUGAAAAUAAAUUAGCUUCUUAAACCCACAGCUGCACCCUCUCUCACCUAACAGGGUCUGUAACCUAAACUUUUGCAGGCUUCAAGAAGGAUAGUGGAGAGUUUGGUUUACAAGGAACUGGAUCCAUUUUAUUCAGCACUUGUCAGACAACACCUAAAGUCUUGUGUUUGGCUAAUGUUCUUUAGUGUUUGCAUAAGGCUUUCAUAUGUAUCCUUUUAGUGGAGAGAUAUUACCCUUGUGCUACUGAUGAACAGAGAUUCUGAGACAUCCAUUACUUUCCCAAUGUGAUGUAAUCAUCCCAGAGUCUUAGGGUUAGAAGAGACCAAGGAAGUCAUCCAGACAAUGAGGGAGAGUAAUGGAUUUGAGAUCAGAAGGUCUCCCAGCCUCCUGAUCCCAUGCUUGAACCUUAUAGCCCAUGUCCUUUCAGCCUAUUCCUCUUGCUAGGAGAUUUCAAAUUCUCCCUGGGCCAGAGGUCCCUCAGGCCUCUUCACUCCUCUUCUCCCACCUUCACCCACAGAUAUACAGCACAGUAAAGAGUUAUGCAAGCUGAGUGUAAGUCCUAGAUCUACACUAACAUUGUGUCAACUUAGGUGUGUCUCUUAACUUCGCCAUGUCUCAUCAGCUGGGAAUGACAGCAGUACUUAUCUCAUGGGCUCAUGCUGUGAGUGUUCAAUGAGAUGAUACAUGGACAUCUUUCAAUAGCACAGAAUAAGCAACUAUUGAGUUUUCAGCUUGAUUACUUCUGCCAUCACCUAGUUUAGCCCUACAUUAUUACUCCUUAGAAACCAUACUGAUCUCCUAACUAGUCUUCCCACAUCCAUUUGUACUCUGUCCAAUUUAUUCUCCAUACUAGAGUUGAGUGAACUUCCUAAAAUAUAAAUCUAGUCAAUAAAGAAAGAAAUAGAAGAGGAUAACAAAAAAUGGAAAAAUCUUCCAUGCUCAUGGAUUGGAAGAAUCAACAUCAUCAAAAUGUCCAUUCUCCCAAAAGCAAUUUAUAGAUUCAAUGUGAUACCAAUCAAGAUACCAAAGACAUUCUUCUCAGAUCUGGAAAAAAAUUAUGCUGAAAUUCAUAUGGAAGCACAGGAGACCUUGAAUAGCUAAAGCAAUCUUGUACAACAAAAACAAAGCCGGAGGCAUCACAAUACCAGAUUUCAGGACAUACUACAGGGCAGUUGUAAUCAAAACAGCAUGGUACUGGUACAGAAACAGAUGGAUAGACCAAUGGAACAGAAUAUAUUGAAACACCAGAAAUCAACCCAAACAUCUCAGCCAACUUAUAUUUGAUCAAGGAUCUAAAAGCAAUUCCUGGAGCAAGGAUAGUCUAUUCAAUAAAUGGUGCUGGGAAAACUGGAUUUCCACGUGCAGAAGCAUGAAGGAAGACCCCUACCUUACACCUUACACAAAAAUCCACUCAACAUGGAUUAAAGACCUAAAUCUACGACCCGACACCAUCAAAUUAUUAGAGAACAUUGGAGAAACCCUGCAAGAUAUAGGCACAGGCAAAGACUUCUUGGAAAAGACCCAGGAGGCAGAGGCAGUCAAAGUCAAAAUUAGCUAUUGGGAUUGUAUCAAAUUGAGAAGUUUUUGUACGGCAAAAGAAACAGUCAGGAAAGUGAAGAGGCAACCGACAGAAUGGGAAAAAAUAUUUGCAAACUAUGCAACAGAUAAAGGGUUAAUAACCAGAAUCUACAAAGAGAUCAAGAAACUCCACAACAUCAAAACAAACAACGCAUUUAAGAGAUGGGCCAAGGACCUCAAUAGACAUUUUUCAAAAGAGGAAAUCCAAAUGGCCAACAGACACAUGAAAAAAUGUUCAGGAUCACUAGCAAUCAGGGAAAUGCAAAUCAAAACCACAUUGAGGUUUCACCUCACCCCGGUUAGAAUGGCUCACAUUCAGAAAUCUACCAACAACAGAUGCUGGAGAGGAUGUGGGGGAAAAGGGACACUAACCCACUAUUGGUGGGAAUGCAAACUGGUUAAGCCACUAUGGAAGUCAGUCUGGAGAUUCCUCAGAAACCUGAAGAUAACCCUACUAUAUAACCCAGCCAUCCCACUCCUUGGAAUUUACUCAAAGGAAAUUAAAUUGGCAAACAAAAAAGCUGUCUGCACCUUAAUGUCUAUUGCAGCUCAAUCCACAAUAGCUAAGACCUGGAAUCAACCUAAAUGCCCAUCAACAGUAGACUGGAUAAAGAAAUUAUGGGAUAUGUACUCUAUAGAAUACUAUACAGCAGUAAAAAAAAAAAAAAAAAAAAAAAAACAAGGAAAUCCAGUCAUUUGCAACAAAAUGGAGGAAUCUGGAAAACAUCAUGCUGAGUGAAAUAAGCCAGUCCCAAAGGGACAAAUAUCAUAUGUUCUCCCUGAUCGGUGACAACUAACCGAGCACCAAAAAGGAAACCUGUUGAAUGAAAUGGACACUAUGAGAAACGGUGACUUGAUCAGCCCUUUCCCUGACUGUUGAUGAACAACUUAAUACUUUAUCCCUUUUAGUAUUUUUUUGUUCUACUUAAUACUAUUGGUUGAACUCUGUAAUUAAUACACAAUUAUUCUUAAGUGUUGAAACUUAACUGAAAAGUGAUCCCUGUUAAAUAUAAGAGUGGGAAUAAGAGAGGGAAGAGAUGUACAGUUUGGGACAUGCUCAAUCAGACUUGCCCCAAACGAUAGAGUUAGAAACAUGCCAGGGGAUUCCAAUUCAAUCCCAUCAAGAUUGCAUGUACCAAUGCCAUCUCACUAGUCCAAAUGAUCAAUUUCAGUUCACAAUUGAUCAUAAUGAUAAGACUAAGAGUCAAAGGGAUCACAUAAACAAGACUAGUGUCUGAAAAUACUAACCAAUAGAAUAAAAAAAGAGAGAGAGAACGAUCCAACAUGGGAAGCAAGAUACUCAGCAGACUCGUAGAAUGGCAGACAUCCUAAACAGCACUCCGGCCUCACAAUCAGCCCUUAAGGCAUUCGGAUCUGGCUGAAAAGCCCAUGAGAGUAUUUCAGGCAUGGAAAGCCAAGACACUCUGGCAAAAAAAAAAAAAAAAAAAACUAAAUGAAAGAUCUCUGCAAGUGAGAUCCCAGUGGAAAGAACAGGUCAUCAAAGAAGGAGGUACCUUUCUCUGAAGGGAAGAGAGAACUUCCACUUUGACUAUGAACUUGUCUAAAUAAGAUCAGAGUUGGCAAACUCAAAAGGCCUCCAUAGCCUUGGCAACUCAUGAUGAGAGCCUAGGGUGAUUACUGACACCAUAAACAAGAGUGUCAAUUUGUUAAGUCAACAAUAGGAGUCACUGUGCACUUCCUCCUCAUGUAGGAUCUCUGUCCUUAAUGUGUUGUACAUUGUGAUUUAAUGCUAUCACUAGUACUCAAACAGUAUUUUACACUUUGUGUUUCUGUGUGGGUGCAAACUGUUGAAAGCUUUACUUAAUAUAUGCUAAAUUGAUCUCCUGUAUAUAAAGAGAAUUGAAAAUGAAUCUUGAUGUGAAUGGAAGGGGAGGGGAGUGGGAGAGGGGAGGGUUGCGGGUGGGAAGGAAGUUAUGGGGGGGAAAAGCCAUUGUAAUUCAUAAGCUGUACUUUGGAAAUUUAUAUUCAUUAAAUAAAGGUGUAAAAAAACAUUAGUAGCAUCCACUGACUUUAAAAUAAUGGCCAAAUCUCUUAGCAAGGCCCAAAACAUCAUGCAUGGUCUGGCCCAGCUCACCAGUCUCUAGCCUUGGCCCAGAGCAACUCCCUGUCAUUCAGCUCUGGCCACACUGAACUUCUACCAUUGCCCACAGCUUUGAGGAUCUGCCCCCUACAGAAUGUCAGAUUGCUCACGCCAUCCUACCUGCUCUCAGAGGCCCAUUCACAUCCUUCAUAGCAUUAGCCCCAUUUGCAGUUUUGUGUUUGUGUAGUUACUAUACUUACAGUCUGUCACUAACCCUUAAGGGCCUUGAGGGUUUACUUACUGCUAUUCCCUACAUCGAACAUGGGGCCUGCAUUGUUUGGUGUUCACAUUAUAUGUGUUAAAUGAAUAAAAGGUGUUGUGGGGACAUUUUCAGAUUUCUGAGUGUCUUUGGGUAGGUUUACUCCAAGGUCCCUACUCUCUCUGAGAUCAGGUAAUUCCAUGCUUCUUGUCUAUCCCCCCACCCCCUCCCUGGAUGUCUCAGGAGGGCUCUUAGAUGAGUACUCAGGAGACUUGCUGCAAACUUCUUCAGAUUUAUGAACAGAUGAGUCAGAGACAUAGAAAAUAUGUAAAUUAUCACCCUGACAUUAUCUUUCUCCCCACCACCAACACACGUUAUUUAGAGCAAAUUAAUUAGCAUUUCUAAACCUAUUUUUUCAUUAUAAAAGUUCUUAGAGUUGGUAGAGACCUCAAUUAUAUUUCUAGAUAUAAGUCCAACACAUAAAAAAUAAAAUUAGACCAGCCACAAAUAAGUUAAAUUAUAACUAUAAAAAGAUAUAAGAGCAAUGUGACAAUAUAAGGUACCUAUGAAUCAUCUUAACACAUCUAUGUAAGAUCUUUGUGGAGAAAAUUUAGACGUUUUAUCAAAAGAUAUUGAAGGAGACUUAAGUGAUAAUAGAAAUAGACCACACUCAUGAACUCAGUACAAUCCCAAAUUCUAGAAAUUUUUAUGGAUUGGACAAGCUAAUACUGGAAUUAGAUGAAAAGACAGUGGGCCAAGAAUAAUCAAGACAAUUUUGAAAAAGAAUCAGGAAAUGAAAGCAUGGAGGAAAGAAGGUGCCCAUAAUUGCCUACAGCAAUUAAGACAAUGUGGUUUGCCACAGAGAGAGAACAGAGCAGUCAAAAAGAAUGGAGAGUUCAGAAAGAGAUCCUUGCAUCUUUAGAAAUAAUAUUUAACAAAAUUAAGACCGAAGAUGAGAGAGGAAAGGAUGGUUGAAUCAGUAAAACUGUGCUGGAAUAACUGGGAAUCUGUAUGGAAAAAAAUGAAAAGAGAUCCUCACUUCCUUAAAGCCCCUAAAAUUAUUUCCAGAUGAAUUAAGACAUAAAAGUGAAACACAAAUCUGUAAAAAUUUUAGAAGGAAAUACCGAAGAAUAGCUUCUUGAAGAAUUUCUGAAGCCUGACACAAAGUUCAGCCCUUAAAGGAGAAGAUUUAUAAAUGUGACAUCAUGGAAAUCUCAACGUAUUAAUGAAUACAGGGUCUCAGUGGGGAAGGACCAGAAAGUCCUGGACAUAGAUGCUGGUGAUGCACAGCCACAUGGCUGCACUUAAUGCCACAAAACUGCACCUAAAGAUGGGUAAAAUGCUGUGUAUGUGUUGCCGUAGCUUGAAAGACAUUCCAACACUAUUUAAAAAGUGAAAAGUUACAAGUUGGAAGAAAAAUACUUUCGUGAGUAUCCACAAUAUACAAGAAGCCAAACAAAUAAGUAAAAAGAGACAAAAAGGGAAAGUAAAGAAUCCGUAAGCCCCAUAAAGAGGCAAUGCAUGCAAAACAAAGUCCCUGUGAUCAUAAGCAGCCAUGCUUCCUCAUCUCCAGGGAGCUGUGAACAAACACCUCCACAAGGCAUUUCACACCUUCCAUGGCGGCAAAACUUAAAAUGUCCGACAGUGCUAAACAUUGGCUGGAAUCUGAAAAAUGCGAACUCCUACCCCUGUUGGUAGCUGGUAUAGAACCCUUUAAAACUCACGCUGGCGGGUGUCUGACUGCAAUGGACUGAACGUUGAUGUAUCCCACAAGUCAUGCAUUGAAAUCCUAGCCUCCAAGUGUGUGGCAUCAGGAAGUGGGGCCUUUGGGAGGUCAUGAGGUCAUGAGGGCAGAGUCCUCCUGAAUGGGAUUAGGGUCCUGAUAAAGGAGACCACCCCAGAGAGCUUGUCUGCCCCUUCCACUGUAUGUAGGCACAGCAAGAAGGUGCCCUCUGUGAACUAGAAAUGGGACUCUCACCAGACAGCAGGUCUGCUGGCAUCUUGAUAUUAGCUUUCCCAACCCACAGGACGAUGAGAAGUAAAUUGUUGUUGUUUAGAAGCCACCCAGUCCAGGGAAUUUUGUUACAGAAGCCCAAACAGACUCCAGAGAGCUAAACCCUAAGACUCAGCAAUCCCUCCCCUACGUAGACAUCUUCCAGAAACUCUUGUUCCUCUGUCCAACACAAAGUGAUCACUGACAAAGCCAGCGAUGAAAAACCUAAUUGUUCAUCAACAGACAUAUAAGUACAUUAUAAUAUUGUCAUAUUACAGGAUACACUCCAGUAACGAAAUAAAUCAACAAAGUGGGACUAUUUGUGUUAGUCUGAUACAGCUUAAAAGUUUAAAAAUGAAAGCCAAUCUCAAAAAAAUUCAUACAAUAGCCCAUUAAAUAACAUUUUUAAAUCAGCAAAGCAACAGAGUGGGUUGUAUAGAGAUUCUUAGAAAUGUUAUGAAAGUAUGAAGACCUCUAAGGGAAUGGUAAACACCAAAACCAGUUCAGUGGCUAAUUCAGCACGAGGAAGGUGGAUGUGUGUCUCUCUGCAUUUUUGUGUAUCUGAACUAUUUCAUAGCAAACAUUUUAAAAAUUUAUUUAUUUAUUUAAAAGAGUGGAGAGAGAGAGAGAGAGCGCACUUCCAUUUGCUGGUUCACUCUCCAAAUGACCACAACAGCUGGGACUGGGCCAGGCUGAAACCUGGAGCCAAGAAUUCCAUCCUAGUCUGCCACAUGGGUGGCAGGGGUCUUGGGCCUUCUUCCCAGGUGCAUUAGCAGGGAGUUGGAUCAGAAGCAAAAGCAGCCGGUAUCACAAGGGGCAGCUUAAUCUGUACCACAAAGCUACCCCCUCAUAAUAAACCUUUUAAAAAUACAUAUUUGGAGUGACUGAUCCAACUUGAAAUACAAGAGCUGCCAUGUGGAGUUUUAUGGGGGUUCCUAAGCUGGUGCACUGCUUAGAAUAAAGUCCAGUUUCCUGUCCCCUUUCUGGGCUCAGAGGUUCCCUUAGCGCCCUUGUUGGGCAUUCGCUGAGCAUGUUCUCAAUGGACCCCAGCAAGCACUCAGGCCAAAAAGUUCAAAAGCACAGGCUUUGCCUGUAGUCCUAGGUACUGUGGACAAGAACCUUUAUCCUUCCAUGGGGAGCUAGAAGGAGAAUAAGGUAAUAAGAAUAGAAUGGGUCAAAGGGACCCCAACUUCAGCUGUAAGGCAAGCAUCAUUACAGAUGACCUUGUGCUACUCCGGCUAGAAAGAGAACUGGAGCUGUUGUUCUUUACAGUAGGUGAGCAGAUAGAGCCCCUUUGCCCCACGUAGCCCCAGAAGUGGAGGCAAGCAAGGAAUGGCUGCACUGCCUUCUCUUUCCCCUCCCCACCACACACCUACCUUUCAGCCAUUGCCAAUGGGGGCGUAUGUCUCUUGACAUGAGCUAUGAGAUAACAUGUCCACACAGGGUCUGCUCCUGAAGUUCUCUCUACCAUCUCAUGAGCCCUGCUCCUUCUCAGAGCAUACAGAGCUAGUAGUCUUGAGAAAGAAGAGCUACCAUCAAGACGUGGCCAAUAAAACAAAGGAACACAGGGGCCGGUGAUAUAGCAUAAUGGGUUAAGCCGCUGCCUGUGACGCCAGCAUCCCAUAUGGGCACUGAGUUCUGGCUGCUCCAUUUCCAAUCCAGCUCGCUACUAUUGCACCUUGGAAAGCAGCAGAGGAUGGCCCAAGUGCUUAGGCUCCUGCACCCAUGUGGGAGACCUGGAAGAAGCUCCUGGCUCCUGGUUUCAGCCUGGCCCAGCACUUGUUGUUGUGGCCAUUUAGGACUUAAACAGCAGAUUUAAAAUAUCCCUCUCUCUCUGUAACUGCCUUUCAAACAAAUAAAUAAAUCAAAAAAGGAAAGAAAGGAGCCAGCACCAUGGCUCACUUGGUUAAUCCUCCGCCUGUGGCACCGGCAUCCCAUAUGGGUGCCGGGUUCUAGUCCCAGUUGCUCCUCUUCCAGUCCAGCUCUCAGCAGUGGCCCAGGAGGGCAGUGGAGGAUGGAUCAAGUGUUUGGGCCCCUGCACCCACAUGGGAGACCAGGAAGAAGCACCUGGCUCCUGGCUUCAGAUCGGCACAGUGCCGGCAGUGGUGGCCAUUUGGGGAGUGAACCAACAGAAGGAAGACCUUUCUCUCUGUCCCUCUCUCUCACUGUCUAUAACUCUACCUGUCAAAUAAAUUUAAAAAAGAAAAAGAAAAAGAAAAAGAAAAAGAGAAAGGAAGGAAGGAAGGAAGGAAGAAAGGAAGGAAGGAAGGAAAGUAACUCAGGCCAGAUGUGACAGUAGACAUAUGUUAGGGUUGCCAAGGGAAGGGCACUGUUAGCAGUAUAGAGUUUUUUCAAAGUCAGUUUAUUUAUUUAUUUUCAUCUACUUGAGAGCCAGGGAGAGGAGAAUGAGAGCACUUUCUUUCAUUGGUUACUACCCAAAUGUCUUCAAUAGCCAGAGCUGGACCAGGACAAAGCCAGGAGCCCAUAAUUCCAUCAGGAUCUACCACAUGGGUGUCAGGGUCCCAAGUGCUUGAACCAUCAGCUGCUGCCUCCCAGGAUACAUUAGCAGGAAGUUGGACUGAAAGCAGAGUAGUUGGGAUUCAAACCAGUGCUCGAAUAAGGGAUGUGGCAUCCCCAAGUAGCAGUGCCACAGUGCCUGCCCCAUGGAUAUUUGUUGAGCAUUUGUCCAUUUGGUCCCUUGGUGAAACCGAUAUCUCUUACCCAUCAAUAUGAGACACUGCCCUCUGGUUUCCUUCCACCCAGACUAGAAAGCACCUGUCAGGGCAGAACCCAUCUCCUAGGCUUAGCUUCUGCCAUGGGAUGAAAACUGAAGACCUUCAUAAGAGUUUGUUCUCACUCUCUGUCUCAGUGUAGCCCUGACCCAAAUGCAGGGAAGGGAGGAGGGUGGAGAGAGACACUCCCGGUGAAAAAGAGAGGUGAGGGUGCCAGGGAGAGGAAGCCCCAUCGGCUGCCUGCUGUGCUGCAAGAGGCCAACACCAGGGAAGUAGCUACCCCAGCCACUCACAAUCUACCCCCUAUCCCUCGCCUUUUUG